rnacentral:rRNA from 1 species
UACGUAGGCGGAAAAUUAAGUCAGUGGUGAAAUCCUGCAGCUUAACUGUAGAACUGUCAUUGAUACUGGUUUUCUUGAAUACAGUUGAGGUAGGCGGAAUGUGUAAUGUAGCGGUGAAAUGCUUAGAUAUUACACAGAACACCGAUUGCGAAGGCAGCUUACUAAACUGUUAUUGACGCUGAGGUACGAAAGCGUGGGGAGCGAACAGGAUUAGAUACCCGUGUAGUCC